rnacentral:rRNA from 1 species
AACGAACGCUGGCGGCAGGCCUAACACAUGCAAGUCGAGCGGACCCUUCGGGGUUAGCGGCGGACGGGUGAGUAACGCGUGGGAAUAUGCCCUUCUCUACGGAAUAGUCCUGGGAAACUGGGGGUAAUACCGUAUACGCCCUUUGGGGGAAAGAUUUAUCGGGGAAGGAUUAGCCCGCGUUGGAUUAGGUAGUUGGUGGGGUAAUGGCCUACCAAGCCGACGAUCCAUAGCUGGUUUGAGAGGAUGAUCAGCCACACUGGGACUGAGACACGGCCCAGACUCCUACGGGAGGCAGCAGUGGGGAAUCUUAGACAAUGGGGGCAACCCUGAUCUAGCCAUGCCGCGUGAGUGAUGAAGGCCUUAGGGUUGUAAAGCUCUUUCAGCUGGGAAGAUAAUGACGGUACCAGCAGAAGGAGCCCCGGCUAACUCCGUG